ncrna:unclassified sequences 6A RNA
AGAUUUGGUCGUAGAGCCACGACCAAGCAAAUCAAAAGAAAGCUCACGAGAGA